CUGAGGUAGGAGAAGAGUUGGCAAAUCCGCUCUUUAAUCUGAAGACGUGAUGUGGACUGAAAAUAAGUAGGGAAGCACGUGAGCUGACUGUCAAGAAAAGCCGCUAUUGUUUGCAGGAUACCCGUACCGUAAACCGACACAGGUGGAUGAGGAGAGAAUCCUAAGGCCGACGGGAGAAGCAUUGUUAAGGAACUCGGCAAAAUGACUCCGUAACUUCGGGAGAAGGAGUGCCAGUAAGAUGGCCGCAGAGAAUUGGCCCAAGCAACUGUUUAGCAAAAACACAGGUCUAUGCAAAACCGAAAGGUGAGGUAUAUGGGCUGACGCCUGCCCGGUGCUGGAAGGUUAAGGGGAGAGGUUAGCGCAAGCGAAGCUUUGAACUUAAGCCCCAGUAAACGGCGGCCGUAACAAUAACGGUCCUAAGGUAGCGAAAUUCCUUGUCGGGUAAGUUCCGACCCGCACGAAAGGCGUAAUGAUUUGGGCACUGUCUCAACAAUGCACCCGGUGAAAUUGAAAUACCAGUGAAGAUGCUGGUUACCUGCGCCAGGACGGAAAGACCCCAUGGAGCUUUACUCCAGCUUGAUACUGGGAUUCGGUAUUGCAUGUACAGGAUAGGUGGGAGGCUAGGAAAUGGUAACGCCAGUUGCCAUGGAGCCAAUGUUGGGAUACCACCCUUGCAGUACUGGGUUUCUAACCAGCAGCCGUGAUCCGGCUGGGGGACAAUGUCAGGUGGGAAGUUUGACUGGGGCGGUCGCCUCCGAAAGGGUAUCGGAGGCGCUCAAAGGUUCCCUCAGAAUGGUUGGAAACCAUUCGAAGAGUGCAAAGGCAGAAGGGAGCUUGACUGCGACACCGACGGGUGGAGCAGGUACGAAAGUAGGACUUAGUGAUCCGGUGGUAUAAAGUGGGAUUGCCAUCGCUCAACGGAUAAAAGCUACCCUGGGAUAACAGGCUUAUCACUCCCAAGAGUUCACAUCGACGGAGUGGUUUGGCACCUCGAUGUCGGCUCAUCGCAUCCUGGGGCUGAAGUAGGUCCCAAGGGUUGGGCUGUUCGCCCAUUAAAGCGGUACGCGAGCUGGGUUCAGAACGUCGUGAGACAGUUCGGUCCCUAUCCGGCGUGGGCGUAAGAUAUUUGAGAGGAGCUGUCCUUAGUACGAGAGGACCGGGAUGGACUGGCCGCUGGUGUAUCUGUUGUCUUACCAAAGGCAUAGCAGAGUAGCCAAGCCGGGAAGGGAUAAACGCUGAAGGCAUCUAAGCGUGAAGCCCCCCUCAAGAUGAGAUAUCUCAUAACGUCAAGUUAGUAAGACCCCUUGAAGACGACGAGGUAGAUAGGGCAGAGGUGGAAGUGUGGUAACACAUGGAGCUGACUGUUACUAAUAGGUCGAGGGCAUAACCG
rnacentral:rRNA from 1 species